UCCCAGACUCCUACGGGAGGCAGCAGUGGGGAAUAUUGGGCAAUGGGCGCAAGCCUGACCCAGCGACGCCGCGUGAGGGAAGACGGUCUUCGGAUUGUAAACCUCUUUCAGCAGGGAAGACAAAAGGACGGUACCUGCAGAAGAAGCCACGGCUAACUACGUGCCAGCAGCCGCGGUAAUACGUAGGUGGCAAGCGUUGUCCGGAUUUACUGGGUGUAAAGGGCGUGUAGCCGGGUUGACAAGUCAGAUGUGAAAUCCUGCGGCUUAACCGCAGAACUGCAUUUGAAACUGUUGAUCUUGAGUACUGGAGAGGCAGACGGAAUUCCUAGUGUAGCGGUGAAAUGCGUAGAUAUUAGGAGGAACACCAGUGGCGAAGGCGGUCUGCUGGACAGCAACUGACGGUGAGGCGCGAAAGCGUGGGGAGCAAACAGGAUUAGAUACCCGCGUAGG
rnacentral:rRNA from 1 species